CGAGAGUGUCACCACUCCCAACCCACUGUUUACCUACCCGUCCACCGUGCUUCGGCAGGCAGUCCUGUGGGACAGGGCCUCGCCCCCGCGAGGGGGGUGCCUGCCGCUGGCCAACCAAAAAUUCUAGCUGUUUUUGUACCAUCUGAGUCUUCCACAAAUAAACA
rnacentral:misc_RNA from 1 species